ensembl:lncRNA
CUUUAGGUAAAAUAUGCAGAAAUAAAAUGAGAGGGAAGCCUAAUCAAAGGAGGCAGAGGGAGCCCGCUGGAGCUUUGGUCCUCAGUGUUGGAUGAUACUGCAGAAUCAGCUGGUCCGGAUACCACCUUGGCUGUGGCUGAGCUAGGUUUCACCUCGUGCUGUUGUGGAGCCAGCAGGGUCUUGAGCUCCACGAAGCCUCCUUCCAAACCAUUCAUCAGCACCAGCUGUUUAAUGAGGGCAGGAUGGGGUUGUGAGACAGUAGCUGUGUGGGUCGAGGUCUCUAGAGCCAGGCUGUGUGAGCUUUGCACGUGGGCCGAGGCGGUGGUCACUCCCUGGGUGUGGGCCGAGGGGGCCGAGGCGGUGGUCACUCCAUGGGUGUGGGCAGAGGCGGUGGUCAUUCCCUGGGAGUGGGCCGAGGGGGCCGAUGCGGUGGUCACUCCCUGGGUGUGGGCCGGGGGGGUGGUCACUCCCUGGGUGUGGGCCGAGGGGGCCGAGGCGCUGGUCACUCCCUGGGUGUGGGCCGAGGCGGUGGUCACUCCUGGGUGUGGGCCGAGGGGGCCGAGGCGCUGGUCACUCCCUGGGUGUGGGCCGAGGCGGUGGUCACUCCCUGGGUGUGGGCCGAGGCGGUGGUCACUCCCUGGGUGUGGGCCGAGGGGCUGAGGCGCUGGUCACUCCCUGGGUGUGGGCCGAUGCGGUGGUCACUCCCUGGGAGUGGGCCGAGGGGGCCGAUGCGGUGGUCACUCCCUGGGAGUGGGCCGAGGGGGCCGAUGCGGUGGUCACUCCCUGGGUGUGGUCCGAGGGGGCCGAGGCAGUCGUCACUCCCUGCCUCUGAAGGUGCUCCAUGUGUUUCAUGAUCAGGUUGUCCUCCAGGUGCCUGAGUUCCUCCUGGCCCAUGAACAACACCUUAUCCCGCCGUCUGAGUGGGGCAGUGCGUUUCAGAACAACAGCGGGGGCUCCUGCCACCUGGGUGGGUUUCCUAGUUGGCUGGCUGGUUGCCGAAGCAAGGGCGGAGUGGUAUGACUGGGCCACCAUGCCGGGAAAGUGUUUGAGCUUCACCUCCAUACACUUACUCCUCACCUUCUCCUCCAGCCAGCAUCUCUCCGGGGUCAAGCUCCUCACAGGGGAUGUCUGGUUCAGAGAGUGUCUGGUCUGGGAGGGUUUGGUAGCAUGAGUCUCGGCUGGCUGGAGCACGGUGCUGGUGGUAGUCUUCUCCACAGGUCUGGUGGCUGGUGAGCUGUCCUUCGCUAUGGCUGCAGUAGCCUGCGGCUCCUCCGCUGGCCUUGUAGUCUUAUUCUUCAACCUGAACUCUGUGUUGCAGUGCGCUCGUCCAGAGAACACCGCCUGAUGGUCGGUCACAUUGCCCAUAAUCUUCCCGUCACCUGCGCUGCCGGAGGUAGGGAGCUGUUGGAGCGCAAGGUUGCCCACGUACCUGGUGACCAGCUUGGGGAAACCCCAGAGGAGCUGGCUCUGCUUGCGGCAAACAUGAGACUCAAGCUUCUCUCGGACCUCCUGGCAAAUGAAGGGGAUCCUGGCGCCCUGAGCGUACAUCAUGAUGGACUUGGGUUUACCCUCUAACCCUGGAGACUGGCAUGGAGCCUUGGAGGGAGAUGGAGGGUUGGCACCCUGAGGGCAGAAAGCUGGAACACUGGCAGUUUUCCUGGUGAUCUUUGAUCCUUUCUUAGCCUGAGAGGUGGUAGUGGUGGUGGUCGGGGUGGACGCAGAGGUGGAGGUUGAGCUGGUGGUGCCUCCCCUCUUCAGUCUCUCUGGGAUCAGCCACCUAACGAUGGAGAUCA